rnacentral:rRNA from 1 species
GACGUAGGGGGCAAGCGUUGUCCGGAUUUAUUGGGCGUAAAGAGCUCGUAGGCGGCUCACUAAGUCGGAUGUGAAAACUCCAGGCUCAACCUGGAGACGCCAUUCGAUACUGGUGUGGCUUGAGUUCGGUGAGGGGAGCACGGGAAUUCCAGGUGUAGCGGUGAAAUGACGCAGAUAUCAGGAGGAACACCAGCGGCGAAGGCGCUGCUCUGGGCCGGUACUGACGCUGAGACGCGAAAGCGUGGGGAGCAAACAGG